GUAGUCACAUCACAUUGAAAUACACUUUCCCGUAUGAACACCGAAGUUAAGCAACAUCAACUCUGUUCAGUACCUAGAUGGGUGACCGCAUGGGAAUGCCGGAUACUGUAAG